ensembl:snRNA U1 U1 spliceosomal RNA
CCACUUACCUGGCAUUUGAGACGAUGGUCACGGAGACGGUCUUCCCAGCAUGAGGCUGACCCAUUGCACGCGGAUGUGCCGACCUCUGCGAUUUCCUCAAAUGUGGGAAAUUCAGCUGCACAAUUUGUGGUAGUGAGGCGCUGCCUUCACACUUUCCUCUA